AAAGCUGACUGUUUUUGUUUGGAUGAAUUGCCUCCUAUCUUGGUCAUAAAUACUAGAUGAAAUGUUUUGUGGCUGAAACCAGAUAACAUAUUGUUUUUUUUUUAAUUUUCCCAAAUUUUCUACUCCACAGGUAAUGUCUCCACACAGGAACUAUCUUCGAAUAAAGCAUACAUUUUUCUACCUCUAACUUCACAAAAACUUGCCAGGCAUCAAAGAAAUGAGGGACUACCUGUUACAGAAGACCCAGGGUAUAUCUCCACAACUGCAAUUUCACAAAAACCCACAAGGCGACAAAGGGUAGAAGAACUGCCUGUUACCGAAGACCCAGGUUAUGUUUCAACCCAAGAAGUGAGUACCCCUCACAGUAAUGCAAGUAAACCCUACGAACAACCAGUAACGAAGGAAAUAACAACCGUGGCAACGGCUAGCAUAGCCAAAGACGAGCAUUUGACCACCCAAACCCACUCUGAGAUCUCAACGCAGGCACCAGGAAAAGACGGAUCAAGAGAUCGGGUAACCCACGCUCUCUCCGGACCAGUGAUUGCCGUGGUUGUUUUUGCUACAAUCGCUGGUAUUGUUGGAGUCAUCCUCUUUGCAUCAUUCUUGGUUCGCCGGCUGACAAGGGUAAAACUGGAACUUUUAAACUUAUAUAAAAUAACAGAACAAAAUUUAUAUAAAAUGUGUUUUUCUCCCCUAUUUAAAUGUCUAGGUGAGCUGAAGUAG
ensembl:lncRNA